rnacentral:lncRNA from 1 species
GUAUUUCUUUCCUGCUGUGAUACUACAAGCUCAUCAGUAAUCCCAGUGCCUUUCUUUUUUGCCAGUCUGCACACUCACCGCUUCUCUUCUUCUUCCACAGGUGUUGCAGACACAGUUAGACACACUGCGCCAGGGUCAGGAACACAUUGGCAGUAGCUGCAGCUUUGCAGAGCAGGCACUGAGACUGGGCUCUGCCCCUGAGGUUUUGCUAGUAAGAAAGCACAUGCGAGAGAGGCUGGCUGCUCUGGCAGCUCAGGCCUUCCCAGAAAGGCCCCAUGAGAAUGCACAGCUGGAACUGGUCCUUGAAGUAGAUGGGUUGCGGAGAUCGGUGCUCAAUCUGGGUGCACUGCUCACCACCAGUGCUACUGCACACGAGACAGUGGCCACCGGCGAGGGCCUGCGCCAGG